GUCAGCAGGGAUUUUUCCGGUUCGCGUCUGAUUGGCUGGUUGUGGGUGUUGACGUCACGGCCCUGCCAGCUGAUCGGAGUGAGAAGCCGGUUUGAAGAGAGGAGUUGGCCCGGAGAGAUAGACCGGGGAGGGAGCCCCUAGGAGCAGCGAGCAGCACGGGGUGGGACCGGAUACUCAGAUUGGACCAUUUUAACAUUUCUUUUUAAACGUUAACACCGGAGUGCAACGAGACACACAAAGCGACAGUCUUGUCAGGGGUGAACUUGCGGGCUUUCGCGUCUCGUCGAAACCUCUGGAGCUGUCAGAGAAAAAUUGAUUGAGAGUUAAGGUGUGGCUGUGGGUUUCUGUAAGGCUUUCUGCUCUGAAAAAAAAUGUUACAGAACCGACUGUUUCUGCUCGGGAGUUGCCAUCUGAGCCGAGACUCUUAUAUCUACCAAUGGUUUUAAAGAUUCUGUACAGUCAUUUUCAUCAAGGGAGAUAUUACAUAACAAAUGUAUUGCCAUCUUGAUGUGCGCACCUUUUGGCUUAAAUCCCUUCGCUGUAGUCAGAUUAAUUGGACCAUUACGCAGUUAAGAAGUAAGUAGAGUGUGUUUUUUUUUACUGCUUGGCAGGUCGUUUUGCUUUCAUAAGUCUGUGAAACGUAACGGACGUGGCAACUUUACAGUAGCCAGCCCUGCUGAAUGCCACAGACAAACUGGGCGUGGGGGAAACAGUCCGAACAGAGCCUAAUAAUCCUCAAAUCUCAUCCACGCACGGCCACUAAAUUGCGCAUAUUAGAGGUAGUAUCGCCACUCGGCCGAGCGCCUCGGCGGACCCAGUGGAUUUACCUGAACCAAAUAUCUCCAGGUGCCCACACUAGAUCUGCUUUUAACCAACUUUCGACCAUGGCAUCAGGAUCUACUUCCAGGAGUCUAGAGGUGAUAAUUGGUGGAGGGAAUCGGCCUGUGAGUGCAUUAAGAGAUUGUGGAAGGAGGGGAUGCAUGAGGAGGAGAAGCACCUGCAGUAAGUUGAAUCCACCUGACCCAACAGGAUGGGGCUGUUUUGCUUUCUGGUAGUAUGCAUUCGAUUUUGUGUGUGUGCACCCCCCUCUCUUCCUCCCUCUUUGCUAUCCAGAUGUGCCACACCCGUGCCGCUAGACCUGGGUGGCCUGUACCUGUGCCUGUGCCAGCUGCUGUGCCAGCUGUGCAGGGGUGAGCGAGCAGAACAGCAUCACAGAAAGAGGUGAACAGACAGCUGCUGCAAACAGAGAGAUGGAGAAGCAUCAAUAAAGGAGGACUGAGUCAGCCUACACACCAUCAAUCAUAAUAUAUUCAUUACUGGCUCACAGUUAUGUUACAGCAUAAAACUUCUCAUUAAGUUGAAAGCAUUUAGAAUUGGAAUUAGGGGCUGUAUAAUAUGUACUUUGCUGUGUCAUGCACUUGCAAAUGUUUUAUAAUUACAGAAAUUGUGUCUGUUUCCAUUUUUCAACAUUAUUUUGAAUUUCUUGCAUUUGACUCGUGGUUCAGAGUCACAUGGCGAAAGGUGAACUACAGCACUUCGGUGUUCCGGGCUCGAGGCUUAUAGACUUAACUAACUUCCUACAGCCCCCUUCCUUGUUUGGAGACAUACAUUAUACUGCCAGAGGGAACAUAAACAAUAAUCUUCUUAAGGUGUGAGCUGCUCUGAGCAGUAAUAGCAAGUCCUUACUCAAGCAAUUUACUGUAUAUGAAGUUGAGAUAGUGACUAGUACUGUAUCGUAAUGCGGUACUGUACAGUACUGUACCGUAAUCAGAUCCCAACGCCAUGUUCUCAAUUCACUUCACUAGCAGAAAACAGCCUCUUUACAGUGUGCAACUGUAACCUAGAAUAGACAAAAGAACAGGUGAAACAUUAACAGUGGCUCCUUUAGGUGUGAGCUAUAUCAGUAUUCAUAGAAGAGACCUGGGACCUCCAUAGAAAGCCAUAGCUCAUGGUUUUGAUAACAGUUUUGCUUUCAUGCUAUGGCGUGUUAAAAUGUUGCUAUUGGCUGAAGGUUGGUUUGCAUUUUUAGUUCACUGUUGUUACUCAUUUGAAAUGGUUAUGAAAGCCUUAUUUCUUAGUUUUUUUAAAGCAAAAAUAUCUUCUUUUUUGAGGGAAUUUUACUAAUAUAGUUUGGAAAAUGUAAUACCAGUCACAUCAUUGCACAGCAUGUAUCGACAUCAGGCCAUUGACUUUGACCCCUAACUGUUAGUAGAUUAACUUUGUCUGUUCAAAGUCCUCCGACCCUCACAGAGAAGGUCACAGACAUUUUCUGAAGAAGAUUAAUCGAAUUCUGUUCUCUAUCUGCUGUAGAGAUAUUCUCCCUCAGGACAUCUAUUUAAGAUGUGAUCUAUGUGCCUUAUCACUAGCUUUCAAUAUAAUGGCUAAUGGAGUGAUAGAUGAUGUGUUUGAGCGUACUUUGAAAUAGAAAGUCCGAGAACAAAGCGCUAAUGGACAAGAUGCACAUAUCCUAGAUUUGGCAGGAUGGAAUAAAUUGCAAAUAAGUGGAGUUCUUUUUUCUUUUAGACUAAAGUAUUCUCUGGUGUGGUGUCUGCUGUCCAGCCCUUGUUCACCUCUUAAGUCAAAGCAGGAAGAAGCUCCAAGGCCAGGUCUGAAGAGGUUUACAAACCUCUCCUAAAUUCUUCCCUGUGGGUAAAAUCAUGUGAAAGCUGCUUAGGCAGAUUAUCCCUGCCUCGACGGCAGCUGGCAGCGAGAUCCUUGGGAGUGCACCUGACUCAAUACUGGUGGUGACGCAACCACAGCCUGUGGCACAGCGUGCUCCAACAAUCCUCUGUGGCCUUUAGCCCCUGAGGGAAAAGUGCAUCUUGUGGUUUAAAGCAAGCAGGAACUAAAUAGGAGAUCACACACACACACACAUAAUGCGCUGAUCCAAAUGCAAGUGAUCUGAUUACUCAAAAUUUUGAAAUGUUUAAUCUGUUAUAGAUAAAGCAUGAUAAAAAAAGUUAUUAUAUUGUUCAGGAAUGUGUUUUAACUCAUUUAGAUUGUGUAAUAAUUAUGGAUAAAUAUUACAAUUCUAAGUGAUUGUGCGUAAGUGGUGCUUAAUUAGUGUUUAAGCUUGUGUAUUUUAUAUUUCUGGUAUUAUUAAAUAAUAUAACACCGACAACCAUCCCUGUUUCCUGGACUUAUUUCCAUCAUUGUCCCUGGUAUUUACACAUUCUAAUAACCUUAAUCAAGACGGAGACAAACAAAAAGAGUCAAUUUACUGCAAAAGUGAGAUAUAUUAGAAGAUAAGAACAAAGAACGACAAAUCUGAAUCAUAUGAGCGAACAAUGAAUGAAAUCCUGCAGAUUUGUAGCAUCAGCACUAUUCACUCAACCCAUUGUUUAUUGCGACAAACAAAUCAAAUGUGAUUAUAUGAGCUCUCCAGCUCCCUUUUUAAGGUGUCAUAUACAAUAAUAGUAUUGUAUGGUGAGCCAACUGUACUGUAUUUUGUCCUUCGUAAUCUUAAAAUAUUAAAAGUCUCAAUUCAUGUAAGGUAGCUGCUUUAGGACACUUUAAAUCUGGGUGAGGGAAUUUUGUCCAUGCAUGCUCAAAUAUGCCAGGAACUGGCAAUUGGAUGGAAAGUGUCAUUUUUCUAAAUUAGGUGUAGGCAUAAGUAGAAGAAUGGUCUCCUUCCAAGUAGAUUUUAAUGAGGUCCCAGGUGCACUGUCACCUCAUGAAAACACAAUGCUCUAAUAAAAUCCAUGUCCUAUCACACUCAGCCACUGAAGCAAGUUUUAUUAAAAAAUGAAGGGACUUCAAUUUCAGUGCUUCAGGAGUCCUUGCCAUGUAGAAAGAAAUAUCAGUGGCAGAGCAAUUGGUUUGCUGAAGUGAGAAAUACUUUUUCUUUUCAGUUGAUGCAGAGGUAAACUAUGGUGCUUGGAGCUGUUGGAAUACUCUUCAUUCCUGAAAAACUACAAUUUCAGGGACCAUUACACAGCCCACAAAGCUAAAUAUACCAAACGCAGUGUCUAGACAACAGCUGCAGUCUUUGAUUUAAAAACUAAAAAAGUCUAUUUUUUCUGUGAAUCACAUGAAUUUAAAAACAGAUUAAUGCAAAGAGGAACCACGGCUCAUUCUUGGAGGACAAGAUGGUGAUAGAAGAGACAUAACUGCUGGGUGAUGGCUAAAAACUAUAAGUCUGACCUUUGUCAGUUUAACGAAGUAUAAAGCUGUCAGGAACCCAAAAUAUAAGAAAAGUAAUACAGACACAAAAAUAAAUGUACAAAUCCUUUGUGAUAAUCACUCAAAAUAUUAUUGUUUCACUAUUCAUACACACGUGUGUGUAUGUAUAUAUGGCAUUGCAAAUCACUGAAAAUGUAAAUAAAACACAGUUUUAAACAUGUCUUUUAAAAUAAAAUGUGUUACAGUUUACACACAUAUAUAAAACAUCUGCUGAAGAAUAGACAGACUCCAGAGGGUUCUCUCUGUUUUCUGAAAAAAAGAAAAAAAGAGUACCAAUGCUUUUGAAAUAAACACAUUGAUUUAUUAGGAGUAUUCACUUGCUUGAUCUAGCAAACUUUGUGAAAUGUACAAAAAUGUCAGCAACUCGCUCAUGAGAAUUGAAGUGUAAUUGUAUAAAUGUCAGUGAAAUGUGACAUGUGGUGAGGUCUGUUUUGUAUCAUACUGUCUGUCUUCAGGAUUGUACAGUUUUAUUUUAAAUGUAGGAAAUGUAUCACUGCGGUCUUCUGUUUUGUCUCAUGCAACCGUGUGGCUUCGAUAGAUGAACAAUGAAUAAAGCAAUUUACUGAAACAGUCAAUACUGUAACUGUCUUUAGAGCUUUUUGUCAUAUUUAACUGUGUAAUAGACAUGAUCAUAAAUCAUAUGAGGAACCACAGUAUAAGGAGCACAUUACUGGCACCAGUCUCUGCAAAAAUUGUUCUAGCCUUCAUAAACCUAAGGCAAAGUAAUCUUGUUUGAUUUUGUCAUGAAUGUUUUGAAUGUGGAAACCCAACAGGUGAAAAUACAAUCAGGGACAAGUCAGAAAAAGAAGGAUAGGUUGAGCAGACGUUGGAUUUGCAUCAAAAUCAGAUUUUUAACCCUACAUUUCUAGUAACACAGUUGUCUAAUGCUGAUUCAAAGAUGAAAAUGUCAUCACAGCAAAUGUGUCACAAAAAGGUGCAAACUGGGAUUUGAAAACCAAUGUACAUCCAGGGAUUGAAAGAUUACGAAGUAGCCUACACCCACUUACCACUGUGCCUAAGCCAGAAAGCAUCCUGUCUCAAAGGGGCCCCUACCCGUGAUGUGUUCUACACAUUGCAGCCGAUACUUGGCCGGCACUGAGCUCCCAAAAUAGAUAGUAGUUCCAGAUAGGUGGGCUGUGAGGCGAAAGAGAGAGAAAGUGGGAAUGCAGUGAGAGUGGGACGCAGGAUAGUGUAACAAAAGGAAAGAGAACCGGUAUUGUGUGUCUGCAAUCUGCUGCCUGCACCCUGCACUCCUAAUUCACUGUGUGUGUGUGUGUGUGUGUGUGUGUGUGUGUGUGUGUGUGUGUGUGUGUGUGUGUGUGUGUGUGUGUGUGUGUGUGUGUGUGUGUGUGUGUGUGUGUGUGUGUUUGUGUGUGUGGCUGGUGACGUCAGCAAAG
rnacentral:lncRNA from 1 species